UUUGGAGAGUUUGAUCCUGGCUCAGAUUGAACGCUAGCGGGAUGCCUUACACAUGCAAGUCGAACGGCAGCACGGACUUCGGUCUGGUGGCGAGUGGCGAACGGGUGAGUAAUGUAUCGGAACGUGCCCAGUAGCGGGGGAUAACUACGCGAAAGCGUAGCUAAUACCGCAUACGCCCUACGGGGGAAAGCAGGGGAUCGUAAGACCUUGCACUAUUGGAGCGGCCGAUAUCGGAUUAGCUAGUUGGUGGGGUAACGGCUCACCAAGGCGACGAUCCGUAGCUGGUUUGAGAGGACGACCAGCCACACUGGGACUGAGACACGGCCCAGACUCCUACGGGAGGCAGCAGUGGGGAAUUUUGGACAAUGGGGGAAACCCUGAUCCAGCCAUCCCGCGUGUGCGAUGAAGGCCUUCGGGUUGUAAAGCACUUUUGGCAGGAAAGAAACGUCAUGGGUUAAUACCCCGUGAAACUGACGGUACCUGCAGAAUAAGCACCGGCUAACUACGUGCCAGCA
rnacentral:rRNA from 1 species